rnacentral:rRNA from 1 species
UGAAACAGCUACCACAAACAUACAGAGCCGACAUCAGGUGUAUUAACCCACAACGCCAAGCAACAGCCACACCCCCACGGGUCUACAGCAGUACUUAAUAUUAGGCUAUAAGCGAAAGCUUGACCUAAUAAUGGGAUUAACGAGGGCCGGUUAAUCUCGUGCCAGCGACCGCGGUUACACGACAGACCCAAGAUAACGCAAUCGGCGUAAAGCACGACUAAAAAUCAGUCACCAAAUUAGGACUAAUAAUAAACUGGGCUGUAAAAAGCCAUAAGCCACACAAAUCACAACUCCUAACAACAAACCCCUUCAACUCGUGAAAGCAAGGAAACAAACUAAGAUUAGAUACCUUACUAUGCCCUGCCGUAACACAGUAAUCAAAUAACCAAUUACUCGCCAAAUAACUACGAGUAAAAACUUAAAAUUUAAAAGACUUGACGGUACUUCACACCAGCCUAGAGGAGCCUGUCCAAUAACCGAUAACCCACGAUUAACCCAACCUACCUUUGCCAAACAGUCUAUAUACCGCCGUCGCCAGCUUACCCUGUGAAAGAAACAAAGCAAGCCAAAUAGUAUCGCACUAACACGACAGGUCAAGGUGUAACUUAUAGGCAGGUCAAAGAUGGGCUACACUUUCUUAACUAGAAAAAACGAAUAUAACAUGAAACAACAACCUGAAGGAGGAUUUAGCAGUAAGAUGGAGACAGAAUACCCAUCUGAAACAUGCAAUGAAGUGCGUACACACCGCCCGUCAUCCCUGUAAAAUACCACAAAUAUCUAUAAACACACAUUCACCACUAAAGCA